UCGAGAAUCUUCCACAAUGGCCGAAAGUCUGAUGGAGCGACGCCGCGUGAGUGUUGAAGGCCCUACGGGUUGUAAAACUCUGUCAGGAGAGAAGAAUCGCCGGGGUGCCAAUACCAUCCUGGUUUGACGUUAUCUCCAGAGGAAGCUCCGGCUAACUCCGUGCCAGCAGCCGCGGUAAUACGGGGGGAGCAAGCGUUGUCCGGAAUUAUUGGGCGUAAAGGGCGUGUAGGCGGCCUGGUCAGUCGAAUG
rnacentral:rRNA from 1 species